AGUUGCGAAGGCGGCUCUCUGGACUGUACCUGACGCUGAGGCACGAAAGCGUGGGGAGCAAACAGGAUUAGAUACCCUGGUAGUCCACGCUGUAAACGAUGAGUACUAGGUGUCGGGGGUUACCCCCCUCGGUGCCGCAGCUAACGCAUUAAGUACUCCGCCUGGGAAGUACGCUCGCAAGAGUGAAACUCAAAGGAAUGGACGGGGACCCGCACAAGUAGCGGAGCAUGUGGUUUAAUUCGAAGCAACGCGAAGAACCUUACCUAAGCUUGACAUCCCAAUGACAUCUCCUUAAUCGGAGAGUUCCCUUCGGGGACAUUGGUGACAGGUGGUGCAUGGUUGUCGUCAGCUCGUGUCGUGAGAUGUUGGGUUAAGUCCCGCAACGAGCGCAACCCUUGUCUUUAGUUGCCAUCAUUAAGUUGGGCAC
rnacentral:rRNA from 1 species